rnacentral:rRNA from 1 species
UACGGGAGGCAGCAGUGGGGAAUAUUGCACAAUGGGCGCAAGCCUGAUGCAGCCAUGCCGCGUGUAUGAAGAAGGCCUUCGGGUUGUAAAGUACUUUCAGUCGUGAGGAAGGUGUUAAGGUUAAUAACCUUAGCAAUUGACGUUAGCGACAGAAGAAGCACCGGCUAACUCCGUGCCAGCAGCCGCGGUAAUACGGAGGGUGCGAGCGUUAAUCGGAAUUACUGGGCGUAAAGGGCACGCAGGCGGUUAAUUAAGUUGGAUGUGAAAUCCCCGGGCUUAACCUGGGAAUGGCAUUCAAGACUGGUUAGCUAGAGUCUUGUAGAGGGGGUAGAAUUCCAUGUGUAGCGGUGAAAUGCGUAGAGAUGUGGAGGAAUACCGGUGGCGAAGGCGGCCCCUGGACAAAGACUGACGCUCAUGUGCGAAAGCGUGGGGAGCAAAAC